rnacentral:misc_RNA from 1 species
GAUGAAGAACGCAGCGAAAUGCGAUAAGUAGUGUGAAUUGCAGAAUUCAGUGAAUCAUCGAAUCUUUGAACGCACAUUGCGGCCAUAGGUAUUCCUUUGGCCAUGCCUGUUCGAGCGUCAUUUACACCCUCAAGCCUAGCUUGGUGUUGGGCGCCUGUCCCGCCGUUUUCGCGCGCGGACUCGCCUCAAAGUCAUUGGCGGCGGUCGUGCCGGCCCCAUCGCGCAGCACAUUUGCGCUUCUCGGAGGCCCGGCGGAUCCGCGCUCCAGCAAGACCUUUCACGACUUGACCUCGGAUCAGGUAGGGAUACCCGCUGAACUUAAGCAUAUCAAUAAGCGGAGGA